rnacentral:lncRNA from 1 species
CUCACCCAAUAGCUUUUUCUUGUGCCUCACUGUGGAAGCGCCCACUUUCGCCACAGUUAAGACCAGUCACAAGGGCAAAGUCUUGAGGAGCAUAACGGAUUGACUUCCCCACAAACAGCCACCAGAGCUCAAGUCCUUCUCAGUUACUAACUAACGGCUAUUCCAUAUGAGUAGAAUACUUUUAAACAAAUCUAUGCAGUGUGAACAGACAAAGAAACUACAGGUUGCGGUCAAUGGAAUGAAAAACAUCAGUCUAUAUAUGUAUGGUGUAACAUACAGAUGUACUAGAAUAGAAAUCAGUAGACUACACAUAGUGGAAUGAAAAAUAAAGAGCCAUUGGCCUCACAAAUUAGAUAACAUGUAACACGAGAACAACAAACUAGGGAACAAGUGGAUGUCUCACCGCGAAACGCUUUUUCCCGACAAAUUGACUAAUCGGAAGCAGUAAAAAAAUACUUACAAAAGUUACAAAAGCGAGCAAACAUAAACACUUAAUCAACCAUCAUCAUUUGUUUUUCCCUAUUUUACCAUACAUGAAACAAAAACGAAGUAGAUCAAACAAUAGGAACGGCCGAUUCAGCAAAAGACAUCAAUAUAUUUCAGCAGCUACACAAACAGGAACACUUAAUCAACCAUCCUACUUGAUUUCACCGAUUUACCCAGAUUCCAAAACAAACAAAAAACUUAAGAUCAGAACUUACGGUUCGUAUCGUAUUCUCACCGACUCCCGAUUCCGAGAAGCUGAGUCGCCGUACCAAGAAGAAACGAUGGAAUAAGUGAUUUUGAUCGGAGAGAAACACCAUAAA